GAUGAACGCUGGCGGCGUGCCUAAUACAUGCAAGUCGAGCGAACAGACGAGGAGCUUGCUCCUCUGACGUUAGCGGCGGACGGGUGGGUAACACGUGGAUAACCUACCUAUAAGACUGGGAUAACUUCGGGAAACCGGAGCUAAUACCGGAUAAUAUAUUGAACCGCAUGGUUCAAUAGUGAAAGACGGUUUUGCUGUCACUUAUAGAUGGAUCCGCGCCGCAUUAGCUAGUUGGUAAGGUAACGGCUUACCAAGGCAACGAUGCGUAGCCGACCUGAGAGGGUGAUCGGCCACACUGGAACUGGGACACGGUCCAGACUCCUACGGGAGGCAGCAGUAGGGAAUCUUCCGCAAUGGGCGAAAGCCUGACGGAGCAACGCCGCGUGAGUGAUGAAGGUCUUCGGAUCGUAAAACUCUGUUAUUAGGGAAGAACAAAUGUGUAAGUAACUAUGCACGUCUUGACGGUACCUAAUCAGAAAGCCACGGCUAACUACGUG
rnacentral:rRNA from 1 species